CUGCUGCCUCCCGUAGGAGUCUGGUCCGUGUCUCAGUACCAGUGUGGGGGACCUUCCUCUCAGAACCCCUACGCAUCGUCGCCUUGGUGGCCGUUACCCCGCCAACAAGCUAAUGCGACGCAUGACCAUCCGUAGCCGGAAUCGCUUCCUUUAAACCCCGCAGAGAUGCCUCCAUGGGUUGUUACGCGGUAUUAGACGGAAUUUCUUCCGCUUAUCCCCCUGCUACGGGCAGGUUUCAUACGUGUUACUCACCCGUGCGCCGGUCGCCGGCGGG
rnacentral:rRNA from 1 species